GGAGGGGUUCCCGAGUUGGCCAAAGGGGGCAGACUGUAAAUAUGUUAGCGACGCUUUCGAAGGUUCGAAUCCUUCCCCCUCCACCA
rnacentral:tRNA from 1 species